CGGGAACAAGAUGGCAGCCCUCAUACCUCAAGGGUUCUCUUGUUUAUCGAGGGUUUUGGGCUGGUGGUCUCGGCAGCCAGUUCUGGUGACUCAGUCCGCAGCUAUAGUUCCAGUAAGAACUAAAAAACGUUUCACAUCUCCUAUUUAUCAACCUAAAUUUAAAACAGAAAAGGAGUUUAUGCAACAUGCCCGGAAAGCAGGAUUGGUUAUUCCUCCAGAAAAAUCGGACCGUUCCAUACAUCUGGCCUGUACAGCUGGUAUAUUUGAUGCCUAUGUUCCUCCUGAGGGUGAUGCACGCAUAUCAUCUCUUUCAAAGGAGAGAUGAUAGAGAGAACUGAUAGAGAGAACUGAACGAAUGAAGAAGACUAUGGCAUCACAAGUGUCGUAGGUGUCUGAGACAAUUGGG
rnacentral:lncRNA from 1 species